AACUCCAUUUGUCGUAAAAGUACAGUUCGAUCUUGAAUAGGUGCUAAUUCGGCAAUACAGUACUGGAGUAGUAGGCUUGUGGUCCAGGUGUUGGUCACCAAUUUCCUGUUUUCCAUCAUGGCGUCGCAGCUGAUUCCGGCCAAGAGUCAGACAAACAACCCUUCACACCCACAUCCACAACUAAGGACAAUUCAUGUGCCCUGCAGUUGACUGGCGACGAGUCCAUUGUGUACCCUGCCUCUUGCCCUUAUGAGGACAAGAGAACCAGAACCCACACAUGCAGGAAUGCAAGGAGAAAUGUCAGCUCAGUCAGGC